rnacentral:rRNA from 1 species
AUUGAACGCUGGCGGCAGGCUUAACACAUGCAAGUCGAGCGAGCGGCGGACAGGUGAGUAAUGUCUGGGAAACUGCCUGAUGGAGGGGGAUAACUACUGGAAAAGGUAGCUAAUACCGCAUACCAUCAUAUGUGCCCAGCUGGGAUUAGCUAGUAGGUGGGUUAAUGGCUCACCUAGGCGACGAUCCCUAGCUGGUCUGAGAGGAUGACCAGCCACACGGGAACUUAGACACGGCCCAGAAUCCUACGGUAGGCAGCAGUGGGGAAGACUGCACAAGGGGCGAAAGCCUGAGGCAGACAUGCCGCGUGUGUGAAGAAGGCCUUCGGGUGGUAAGGCACUUUCAGCGAGGAGGCGAUACUCGCAGAAGAAGCACCGGCGAACUCCGUGCCAGCAGCCGCGGUAAUUC